UUCCACUCUUCUCAUCUGUGCCUGUCAGUCAAGAGGCCAAGUAGCACUGUGCAUGCAACACCGUCUCUGGCGCCCACUGACCAGAAAUCACCAACACAACUCUUUUGACCUGCACAUCUACAGUGACACACAACCGAAAGCACAGAUCAGCUGCAUUUUGGAUCCAAUUGUACCUCACACCUCAGUCUAUAGCAGCUUUAGAAGCCAGAGCUGGGCCAUCUGAAAACAGAAUGUCGUAUGAACGGAUUCUGGCCAUUGAAAAUUUGAGUGAUGUCCGAAAUCCAUGGAAGGGAUUCACUAUGAACCGGUGUUUGGUGGUGGCACUAGUUGUACUGCUUGUGAGCUCGGGAGUGAAUGAACUGCACGAGGCUCUGGAUACAUUUGUUGAGGAAACAGGAAUCAGGUCUUUCUUUGGAAGUCUGCAGGAGGGUUCACUACCUCAGAUUUCCAUAUGGGACAAUGUCAUGUGGUGGUGGGGAUCCGACGAGGUCGGAGUGAUAAGGAGAAGAAAAAAGCCGUUAGGCAGCAAAAUCAUCCUGAAACCCAAAGCCAAACAAUAAGACAUACUAUCCAGCUGCUGCAGUAAAGGUGAACGGUCGAGAAACAGACGUUGCAACAACAGGUUACUGAAUAAAGGAUGCAAAAGUAUACUUUGGAUUUAAUCAUGGGUCGACAAAAAUCUUCAUUUAAGUAACAACUGUUUUGAAAUGCCACAUAAUAACACACUUUCAAAUGUUGUCUUCAGCAGUAAUGAUCAGCUUAUUAAUGGCAGAUGUACCUUAAAAAGGUAGAUAUAUAUCAGGCAUGUGUGCCUUGUAUUAUUAUUUGAUUAAAUAUUUAUUAAUAUUUAUGUACAUUCACUGCCAGUGUAUAAAUACUGCAUACACCAAAUAAAUGACAAUUAAAUGACACUUAAUUAACAAAA